AAGUCGUAACAAGGUUUCCGUAGGUGAACCUGCGGAAGGAUCAUUACCGAGUAAUCCCUGUACUUUCAGGAACUCCCACCCUUGUGAUAAUGGCGUUGCUUCGGCGAGACGCUGGAAACAGUCAUUGGUGGCGACAGGUCUUCGGACCGGCAGUCCCAAUGUGAGCUCGCCGGAGUCUUCAUACUCUAUAUUAUGCACUGUCAGAGCAAACAAGCAGUAUAUAAAAACUUUCAACAACGGAUCUCUUGGUUUUGGCUUCGAUGAAGAACGCAGCGAAAUGCGAUAAGUAAUGUGAAUUGCAGAAUCAGUGAAUCAUCGAAUUUUUGAACGCAUAUUGCACUCCUUGGUAUUCCUUGGAGUACACUUGUUCGAGCGCCGGUUGCGUCGUAAGGCUUUGCCUUGUGUUGAGAUUUCCUGAGAAGGAACUCUCUAAGCCCAUGGGCGUCCGUCGUGCCUGAAUCGCAACACAAUGCGGGUAGGACACCGGCGACCGCCGAAAACCGUCAUGCAUGGCCUCGAAUCAAGUGGGGAUACCCGCUAAACUUAAGCAUAUCAUUCAGCGGAGGAAAAGAAACCAACAGGGAUUGCCUCAGUAACGGCGAGUGAAGCGGCAAGAGCUCAGAUUUGAAAUCGGCCCCCCGGCUGAGUUGUAAUCUGUAGAGGAAGGUUCGGCAGCGAAGCGGGCUAAAGUCUUCUGGAAGGAAGCGCCGUAGAGGGUGAGAGCCCCGUCUAGUCUGCAUUCAACGCCAUGUGUACCUCCUUCGAAGAGUCGAGUUGUUUGGGAAUGCAGCUCAAAAUGGGUGGUAUAUUCCAUCUAAAGCUAAAUAUAAGCCAAAGACCGAUAGCGCACAAGUAGAGUGAUCGAAAGAUGAAAAGCACUUUGGAAAGAGAGUGAAACAGUACGUGAAAUUGUUGAAAGGGAAGCGCUUGUAGUCAGACUUGCACGCAGUUGCUCAGCCGUCCUUCGGGCGGUGCACUCUUCUGCGUUCAGGCCAGCAUCGGUUUGGGCGGCUGGAUAAAGUCGGAAGGAAUGUGGCCUCUCGGGGUGUUAUAGCCUUCCGAACAAUACAGUCAGCCUGGACCGAGGACAGCGUUCGCUAGGAUGCGGGCGUAAUGGCUAUCAGCGACC
rnacentral:rRNA from 1 species